UAGACUGGAUUCUCCCCAAGAUAAACUGAAAUGGAUUUUCAACGUAUUUGACAAAGAUGGGGGUGGGACUAUAGAUAGAGAGGAAAUAAGCUCAAUGGUCAAAGGACUCUUCUCUAUGGCUCAGACUGAUGUUGAUACUGAGGAGAUAAAAGAUUGUUGUGAUGAAAUAAUAACAGCAAUAGAUAAAGAUGGAGAUGGAGAAAUAACCAGAGAGGAGUUUGUAGAGAAUGCAAUGAAGAGUGUUUUCAUCAGUAAUAUGCUUUGUGGGGCAGAUGGGGAGGAUACUUAGAUGCAGCGCAGUACAGUACAGUGUAUACUUUACAUGUUAAUUAUGUACAGUACUGAGCUUAAGUUGGGCGUGUACAUUAUACAGUGCUGUGAACAGUAGACAUGUUGAACAGUUUAAAUUGUACUGAUCCCAAGUCAAAUAUAUAAAUGAUAUGUACAUUGUAUGUAUGUAUGUAUAAAAUACGGAUGAUAUGUACAUUGAAAAUGUAUAAAAUACUGAUGAUAUGUAUAUCGAAAAUGAAAACCAUUAUGUCACACCCAACUAUGAGAAAUGGAUAUAUGUAUAAAUCCAUUAUUCUUGUAUACAUACUGACCACUGUAUGUAAAGUCACACAUAUUGUUCAAUGUACAUACAUUAAAUUGAUUUCAUGUCAAAUAUUCCAAGUUUAUUUGUAAAUAUAAAAAAUCGUUAGAUAUAUGAUUCCAUUUAAAUAAUGUUCCAUUUGAUCAUAUCUUAUUAAUUACAGCAUAAUAUGAAAUAAAUAUAAUUCAAUUUUA